CAAAGGUAGCAUAAUCAUUUGUCUUUUAAUUGUAGACCUGUAUGAAAGGCAAAAUGAGAGCCCAACUGUCUCUUAUAACAAAUCAAUUAAACUGAUCCCCUAGUACAAAAGCUAGGAUACCAACAUAAGACCAGAAGACCCUGUGAAGCUUUAACUAACCUAUUAAACCCAAUAAUAGCUACUUUCGGUUGGGGCGACCUUGGAACAAAAAAGAACUUCCAACAUAUGACUAAUCAUAAAACAAGGCAAACAAGCCACACCAGACCCAGUAUUACUGACAAUUGAAAUAAGUUACUCCAGGGAUAACAGCGCCAUCUUCUUUAAGAGCCCAUAUCAAAAAGAAGGUUUACGACCUCGAUGUUGGAUCAGGACAUCCCAGUAAUGCAUCCGUUACUAAAGGUUCGUUUGUUCAACAAUUAACAGU
rnacentral:rRNA from 1 species